GAUGAACGCUGGCGGCGUGCCUAAUACAUGCAAGUCGAGCGAACGGACGAGAAGCUUGCUUCUCUGAUGUUAGCGGCGGACGGGUGAGUAACACGUGGAUAACCUACCUAUAAGACUGGGAUAACUUCGGGAAACCGGAGCUAAUACCGGAUAAUAUUUUGAACCGCAUGGUUCAAAAGUGAAAGACGGUCUUGCUGUCACUUAUAGAUGGAUCCGCGCUGCAUUAGCUAGUUGGUAAGGUAACGGCUUACCAAGGCAACGAUGCAUAGCCGACCUGAGAGGGUGAUCGGCCACACUGGAACUGAGACACGGUCCAGACUCCGACGGGAGGCAGCAGUAGGGAAUCUUCCGCAAUGGGCGAGAGCCUGACGGAGCAACGGCGCGUGAGUGAUGAAGGUCUUCGGAUCGUAAAACUCUGUUAUUAGGGAAGAACAUAUGUGUAAGUAACUGUGCACAUCUUGACGGUACCUAAUCAGAAAGCCACGGCUAACUACGUG
rnacentral:rRNA from 1 species